AGAGUUUGAUUCUGGCUCAGAACGAACGCUGGCGGCGUGGAUAAGACAUGCAAGUCGAACGAGAGAAUUGCUAGCUUGCUAAUAAUUCUCUAGUGGCGCACGGGUGAGUAACACGUGAGUAACCUGCCCCCGAGAGCGGGAUAGCCCUGGGAAACUGGGAUUAAUACCGCAUAGAAUCGCAAGAUUAAAGCAGCAAUGCGCUUGGGGAUGGGCUCGCGGCCUAUUAGUUAGUUGGUGAGGUAACGGCUCACCAAGGCGAUGACGGGUAGCCGGUCUGAGAGGAUGUCCGGCCACACUGGAACUGAGACACGGUCCAGACACCUACGGGUGGCAGCAGUCGAGAAUCAUUCACAAUGGGGGAAACCCUGAUGGUGCGACGCCGCGUGGGGGAAUGAAGGUCUUCGGAUUGUAAACCCCUGUCAUGUGGGAGCAAAUUAAAAAGAUAGUACCACAAGAGGAAGAGACGGCUAACUCUGUGCCAGCAGCCGCGGUAAUACAGAGGUCUCAAGCGUUGUUCGGAAUCACUGGGCGUAAAGCGUGCGUAGGCUGUUUCGUAAGUCGUGUGUGAAAGGCGCGGGCUCAACCCGCGGACGGCACAUGAUACUGCGAGACUAGAGUAAUGGAGGGGGAACCGGAAUUCUCGGUGUAGCAGUGAAAUGCGUAGAUAUCGAGAGGAACACUCGUGGCGAAGGCGGGUUCCUGGACAUUAACUGACGCUGAGGCACGAAGGCCAGGGGAGCGAAAGGGAUUAGAUACCCCUGUAGUCCUGGCAGUAAACGGUGCACGCUUGGUGUGCGGGGAAUCGACCCCCUGCGUGCCGGAGCUAACGCGUUAAGCGUGCCGCCUGGGGAGUACGGUCGCAAGAUUAAAACUCAAAGAAAUUGACGGGGACCCGCACAAGCGGUGGAGUAUGUGGCUUAAUUCGAUGCAAC
rnacentral:rRNA from 1 species